rnacentral:rRNA from 1 species
AACGAACGCUGGCGGCAUGCCUAACACAUGCAAGUCGAACGAGACCUUCGGGUCUAGUGGCGCACGGGUGCGUAACGCGUGGGAACCUGCCCUUAGGUUCGGAAUAACUCCCCGAAAGGGGUGCUAAUACCGGAUAAUGUCUUCGGACCAAAGAUUUAUCGCCUUUGGAUGGGCCCGCGUUGGAUUAGCUAGUUGGUAGGGUAAAAGCCUACCAAGGCGACGAUCCAUAGCUGGUCUGAGAGGAUGGUCAGCCACACUGGGACUGAGACACGGCGCAGACUCCUACGGGAGGCAGCAGUGGGGAAUAUUGGACAAUGGGCGAAAGCCUGAACCAGCAAUGCCGCGUGAGUGAUGAAGGCCUUAGGGUUGUAAAGCUCUUUUACCCGGGAUGAUAAUGACAGUACCGGGAGAAUAAGCUCCGGCUAACUCCGUG